CCUGUCUUCAUGUCUGGAAUAAUACGCCGAAAGGGGGUACUAAUACCGGAUAUUCUUGCUUUUCAUAAGUUAUGCAAGCAAAGGUGGCCGUCUGCAGUAUGCUACUGCAUGAAGAGGGGUCUGCGUACCAUUAGCUAGUAGGUGGGGUAAUGGCCUACCUAGGCGACGAUGGUUAGCGGGGUCUGAGAGGAUGAUCCGCCACACUGGCACUGGAACACGGGCCAGACUCCUACGGGAGGCAGCAGUGAGGAAUAUUGCGGCAAUGGGGGAAACCCUGACGCAGCGACGCCGCGUGAGUGAGGAAGGCCUUCGGGUCGUAAAGCUCUGUCAAGAGGAAAGAAGUGUACAAUGGCUAAUACCUGUUGUAUUUGACGGUACCUCUAAAGGAAGCACCGGCUAACUCCGUGCCAGCCGCAGC
rnacentral:rRNA from 1 species